ensembl:lncRNA
GGGAAAAUGGCGGGAAAAAGCCGCAGUGACAUCUAGCGGUGACCUAGAGGAGCUUCUCGUGAUCUGAGGAAAGAAGGUGCCGACAAAGCCACAUUUCACUGGAACCUCACAUGCGCGCGGAGCUGACUGUGAGAUGACUGUUCGUUUUCAAUGCGUAGCUGUUGUACGUACGGCUGUGGGGGACAUUUCCUCGAAAGUAACGUUUCAUUAAUAAUACAGCCUUAAUAUUUUCCUUCUCGUCAUGCAUUAUUCAUGUUUUUUUUUUUUUUUUUUUUUUUUUUUUUUUAAAAAUGUCGGCCCGUAUGCUCCUGCUCGUGUCUUGACGCACAGCUCCUCCCUUCUGUUGGGAGAAGGAGAGGUCAACGGUCCUGAGCCUCCAGGAACACGAUCUGAACGGAAGCCCUGUUCACGUUGCUGCUUUUACAUUGCAGUGGAUGUGGAUCUCCUAGGAGUCGCAGUUAUCGUCUUUUUCCCCCGCAUGUAAUAAAGAACGGGAUCCCAUGGUAGUAAAGGGGGCAGAGGGAGGCACGAUGGGAACAAAGGAAGAGAAAUGCGGCAGCAGACGGCGCGCUUUGAUGUAGGGCGGUCCUUCCUCUGGGCUCGGGCUUCGGCCCACAAGGAGCCAUUGUUGUGGCAGAACAAAGAGGGACGCGACCGCCUCUCUGCGGCUGACGCACAGGGGGCCCUGGACGGCGCUGCACCUCUGAAGCCCGCCUCCCGCUGUGGGGGGAGGGGGGGAGGGCAUCUCACGGGCCUCUCUGCGUGAGGCGAGCAGCAGUCUGGAAUCCCGACGAAGGGCCGUGUGACUCCAGAGCAGUCACACCAGGAGGCAGACCUGGGUUCGAGGCUGCGAGUGAUUCCAAAGAGGAAACUGCCCUGCAUUAUCAACACUGUUAUUUACACAGACUGGCAUUCCAGCAAAAACUCCAUGUGUUACUGAGCUCUCAGUCUGCUGCCGGAGUGACCAUCUGCCCUCACCGUAGCAACAGGAAGCCCACAGGAAGAGGAGCCAUUACCAGCCCCUCGCUACAGCCAGCACAUGUGGUCUGCCAGCCACUUCGAACCACAUCACAGAGAUGUCAGCUUUGUAAUGGCUGCCUUAACAACAUGGCUGUAAUUACUGCAGCCUCACCCCUCCCCCAAGACCUUCAUGUUUCCCUUUAUUGUGGUCAUCGCUGGGCUGCGCUCAUCUUACUGGCGGAGAUCCGGAAGGAUCAUCUCUUGGCAGUGAGACUGAGAGCGGAGUCAAACCUGCUGAGUGUAAAUGUGAUGAACAUAGAAGGAUGUGGGUGGGCUCCCUAACAGGAUGAGAAGCAGCAUCUCCCCUGAGCUUUCAGCCUUCACAUCAGCUGCCAUCCAAAGAGACUUCAGAGCACCUCUUGCUCAGACAGGGCAAAAACAGUCUGACGGAAGACUUGUUUCUAACACAUGCAUCCCCUUUGACUAAUAUUUGGUGUGGUUUCAUUUACUGUGCAUGCUGGGAUGAGAUGCAGGUGUCUGGGAUGAACUUACAGCACACCUUCCUGAAUUCCUGUGGAAAAGCCAAAUCAGAUUAAUGUGUUGUAAGGGAUGCUAGAAGAAAAAGCCUGUGUUGGACCCUGGGCAGCU